rnacentral:ncRNA from 19 species
UCAGACGACUUUAUGUGUAGCUUAGUUUGUCGAUAUGAGGCAUAAUGCCCUACAACGUAGCGGUGUCACAUCAUUGAGAAGUCUAAUUUUUAAGACUAGCGUUCUCAAUCAUGCGACACUUUAAUCGCUAUCCCAUAUUUAAUUAGGGAAUGGGACUCUUCACCGAGGUUGUAAAAUGAGACAAACGAUUUUAGCUGUAU